rnacentral:rRNA from 1 species
AUUGAACGCUGGCGGCAGGCUUAACACAUGCAAGUCGAACGGUAACAGAGAAUAGCUUGCUAUUUUGCUGACGAGUGGCGGACGGGUGAGUAAUGCUUGGGAAUUUGCCUUGUUGCGGGGGACAACAGUUGGAAACGACUGCUAAUACCGCAUAAUGUCUCCGGACCAAAGGUGGCCUCUAUUUAUAUGCUAUCGCGACAAGAUGAGCCCAAGUGGGAUUAGCUAGUUGGUAAGGUAAUGGCUUACCAAGGCAUCGAUCCCUAGCUGGUCUUAGAGGAUGACCAGCCACACUGGAACUGAGACACGGUCCAGACUCCUACGGGAGGCAGCAGUGGGGAAUAUUGCACAAUGGAGGGAACUCUGAUGCAGCCAUGCCGCGUGUGUGAAGAAGGCUUUCGGGUUGUAAAGCACUUUCAGCGAGGAGGAAAGGGUAUUGCCUAAUACGUAAUAUCUGUGACGUUACUCGCAGAAGAAGCACCGGCUAACUCCGUGCCAGCAGCCGCGGUAAUACGGAGGGUGCGAGCGUUAAUCGGAAUUACUGGGCGUAAAGCGCGCGUAGGCGGUUAAUUAAGUCAGAUGUGAAAGCCCAGGGCUCAACCUUGGAACUGCAUUUGAAACUGGUUAACUAGAGUUUUGUAGAGGGUGGUAGAAUUUCAGGUGUAGCGGUGAAAUGCGUAGAGAUCUGAAGGAAUACCAGUGGCGAAGGCGGCCACCUGGACAAAGACUGACGCUGAGGCGCGAAGGCGUGGGGAGCAAACGGGAUUAGAUACCCCGGUAGUCCACGCAGUGAACGAUGUCUAUUAGAAGUUUGUGGCUAUAUGCCGUGGGUUUCAAAGCUAACGCAUUAAAUAGACCGCCUGGGGAGUACGGCCGCAAGGUUAAAACUCAAAUGAAUUGACGGGGGCCCGCACAAGCGGUGGAGCAUGUGGUUUAAUUCGAUGCAACGCGAAGAACCUUACCAUCCCUUGACAUCCAGAGAAUCUGUUAGAGAUAAUAGAGUGC